rnacentral:sRNA from 1 species
GUGCGUCGCCGCAGUUGAUAAGAGUGUCUACCUGCUCAGGUCUGGGUUCCGGCUGACUCCUGCCCAGGUUUUCCAGGAACUGGAAGAUUAUGAUGUUUCUGAUUCCUUUGGCGUGUCCAGGGACGAUGGUCCUUUUUGGUGGGCUGGGCUGACGGCCCAACGACGCCGGCGCUCCUCCGUCUUCCCGUGGCCUUGGGGCAUCACCAAGGAUUCUGGGUUUGCCUUCACCGAAACGGGACUGGUGGUGAUGACCGACCGAGUGAGCCUGAACCACCGGCAGGACGGUGGCCUCUACACCGAUGAGGCUGUCCCCGCUUUCCAGCCCCACACAGGGAGCCUGGUGGCAGCGGCUCCUUCCAGGCACCCCCCCAGAACAGAGAAGAGAAAAAGGACUUUCUUCCCUGAAACAUGGAUUUGGCAUUGUCUCAACAUCAGGUGUACAUGAAGCUCUCGGUUCCCAAGGGCAUCCAGUUUGUUGGGCAUCCUGGCAAACGCCAUCUGACCAAGAAGAUGUGUGUGGCCCCCGGGGAGGCUGAGCCCAUCUGGGUUGUUCUGUCCUUCAGCGACCUGGGGCUCAACAA